AACAUCAGUGACUAUAGGUGCGAUAGUAGAUCCAAACUUCAGCCAAACAUGGGGCCACUUUUCUUCGGAGAGUAAAUUUUUAAAAGAGUCUUUUGCUGAUACAGAGACUGCACGAUCUGAAUCAAAAAAACCCAUAACCCAAGGUGUGAUAUAGAAUUUGAGCCAUGGUGCAAGUUUUUUUUGAAGCGCAGAAGAUAGAACAGACAUGAAGACAAAGAUUUUUAACCGCACAUGUCGUUCCACUUCUAUAGAUAGUCGAGGAAAUAAAACUGCCAAAGCAUUUAGAAACUGUUCAUUGUCAAACUGUG